UACGAAGGGGGCUAGCGUUGCUCGGAAUUACUGGGCGUAAAGCGUACGUAGGCGGUUAUUCAAGUCAGAGGUGAAAGCCCGGGGCUCAACCCCGGAACGGCCUUUGAAACUAGGUAGCUAGAAUCUUGGAGAGGUCAGUGGAAUUCCGAGUGUAGAGGUGAAAUUCGUAGAUAUUCGGAAGAACACCCAGUGGCGAAGGCGACUGACUGGACAAGUAUUGACGCUGAGGUACGAAGCGUGGGGAGCAAACAGG
rnacentral:rRNA from 1 species